GGAGUUUGAGUCGGUGGAGCUUAUCGGCGAUGACGGAGUGGGAGAAUUUGGGGCCGACGGCGGUCUGAAGGCGGUCGAAGGCCUGAGAAUCGAGAGUGGGGAGAGAAUUCUUGGUGGGGUUUUCGGAUCUGGAGAUUUGGAGGGUUUCGGGAGAGGCGCUGGACGGCGGUGACCGGUGGAGCGUUGACAUGAUGGGAAUUUGGACGAUAUAGAUCGGAGUUUCGGUGGGGGUUUGGUUUUGGCGAGAGUGUCAAUGACUGGUAAAGGUUUCUUUAGUCAUAAAUUUGGUGAGCCGGUCAAUGUUAUGGCCAACAAAAUUUCCCGCUCCAAUCCCCUUUUUAUUUUUGUUUAUCAUUUUAAUAAAUACGAGGGGAGAGAAUCAAAAGUUAUUAUACCCAAACAAUUUUAUAACUUGAAUGAUAAGAAGCAAAAGAGUUUUUAAAUCUUGCAAGUUUAAAAUUUCAAAUUUCUGGUUCAUGGUAAGUAGAUAAAUUAUAUCAUUUAUGUUUUCUUUCAGUAAUCAGAUUCACAAAUUCCUUACCCAGCCUAUUUUUAUUUCUAUAUUUUCUUUUAGUUUAUAUACUUUUAAACAUUCUUUUCUAUUUAAAUCUUUUUUUUCAAUUCAAAUUAAUUAAAUAAUAAUAAUAGUAAUUUUGUUGCAUCUUUCAAAAUUCUUUCUAAAACUAAAGUAUGUUUCAAAAUUUAUAGAAACUUAUUCAUUUACCAUUCUUUCAAACAAAGAGUGAACAAUUAGGAUGUACUAAAGUGAGUAUUUUAAGAAAAUUCAUAGAUAAAAGUGUAAAUAUUGGUUUCAACAAAUUUCAAUGAACGAGAAAGUAACGGUUUAAAAGAAGUAAUAUAUUUUUACUUUUUGGGUCUUUUUUUUGUAUAGUUUAAAAUAACACAGUAGAGAGAAAAUUGAUUAAAAUAAUUUGUCUUUCCUCCUAAAAGAACCUCUUUCCCAUUGUUUUUUUGGUCUAAUGAAAUUUAUUGAGAAAAAAAUAAAUUGGAUAUUGGUGGAAUUUAUUUUUUUUGGAUUGUGCACUCUAUCAUGUUCUUCUUCUUCUUCUUCUUCUUCUUCAAUACGAACUUUAAUGAAAAUUGAUCCAAUCGAACCGAACCAAAUCAAACCAAUCCGGUUCGCUUUUUUACACCAGUAUUUACAAUUUAAUUUCCAGCCGGGGCUUGGAAUGGUUUAGGGCUGAACCCCUUGGAUCAACAAUUUCCGUAUCAGGUCCCAUUGUUCUCUCUUUGAAGAACCUCCUCUUCACUUCAUUCGCUUAUUCCUCUCAUCCCCAAAUUCCUUCGUUCACUCAUAGAAAACUUGAUGACACGGCGUCGGAAUUUGAUUGUUGCCGUUGGGCUGAUAGCCUUUGCAUCUGCUGGAUUAGCAUUUCCCUUUUACAUGGCGUCUUCGAAAAAACCAGUUAUAGAUCCGACAAAGCCGCUUUCGCCGCAGGCCACUUUUCGAGGUCCUUAUAUUAACACUGGCUCCCGAGACGUUGGACCCGACCAUCAAACUUACACCAAGAAGUGAUUUCUUUUGAAUCGUGCUUGGUUUUGCAAAUCUAUCUGUUGGUUUAUUUCAAUGUAGAAGAAGACUACGUGAAUUUUUCUUCUUCUCUCUUAUGGAGAAACAGUUGAGUAGUUCACUUGAUUUACAAAUCAAAUCUUUGUAGAUUAAAAUAUUGAUGUCUUAUAAAGGCAUUGGGGUUUUAAUUUCAUGGAUAUAUAUCAACAAACUUAUGGAUAUUUAUGUAAA